AUUAACGCUGGCGGCGUGCCUAACACAUGCAAGUCGAGAGGGUUUAGACCCUCGGCAGACGGGUGAGUAAUAACGAGGAAUUUGCCUUUAAGUGGGAGAUACCUCCGAGAAAUCGGAGAUAAUACCCCAUAAUACCGCAAGGUUAAAGAUUUAUCGCUUAAAGAGAAGCCUCGUUCCUAUCAGUUAGUUGGUGAGGUAAUGGCUUACCAAGACUAUGACGGGUAGCUGGUCUAAGAGGACGAUCAGCCACAAGGGGACUGAGACAAGGCCCCUACUCCUACGGGAGGCAGCAGUUGGGAAUAUUGGACAAUGGGCGAAAGCCUGAUCCAGCGACGCCGCGUGGUCGAAGAAGCCUUUCGGGGUGUAAAGACCUUUUUUCAGGGAAGAUUAUGACGGUACCUGAAGAAUAAGCAUCGGCUAACUACGU
rnacentral:rRNA from 1 species